GGCUAGGUAGCUCAGCUGGUUAGAGCACGGGAUUCAUAACCCCGGGGUCGAGAGUUCGAUUCUCUCCCUAGCCACCA
rnacentral:tRNA from 3 species